CUAUAAAUUGAACAGAUCUCAGCUCUUCUUCAACACACCAAAGCAGAGAAAGAAAAAUAUAUAGAGAGAACUGUGAGGUAUUCCACAGACUGUGAUAAAAAUAGUCUGUGAAGCAAAAAUUAGAGUGAGCAAUAUUUUUAGUAAGGUGGGAUUCAAAAGAGGGUUAUUUCUUUUGAGUAUGUUGUAGUCAUUUUGAGUAUUAUAUUUUAACUACAGUGUAAAAAUUUCUUACUACAAUAAUAUUAGUUGCUCCUCUUGAUCCGCGGUUUUUCCCGGUUUUCACUAAAAUUCUUGGUGUCAUUAUUUUUAUAUUUUUUUCUAUUAUUUUACCACAAAUAUUUUUAUUGUUAUUCAGAGUUUACGUAACAGUUAUAGCCUUGCCUCUCAACCAAGGACCUGACUAUUAGGCUGUUGUGUCUUACUAACAAUACAUGGUCGUAUUAUCCGAAAAGGAGAAGCUUCGAUUAAAAGUGAAAAACAAACAAAUGGUGCUUGUAUCAAGGUUUAUGAUGCCAAAACUGAUUGCGAUUAGUAAAUUGUCACAGUCACUUCCAUUGAGGUAUUGCUUUCUCUCCAGAAUUCUUUAGUUCCCAGGCUGGUGAAAUUUUCAGCUUUUACAAGUCGUUUCUUUUUUGUGAAAGUGUACUGAAUCGCUUACCUCUUGUGUCACCAUGUAAUACUAUAUUCGCCAACUAAGUUGAGCGGUCAUCUUUAUUUUUUGGCUUACUUACUAGAAAGAACAAGAAGAUUGCGUGCUUUUUCUCCCGCUUCUCAUCUUUGAGGAUUUUACAUGAUAGACUUGUGAUAUGUGUUUCAAUUGCUAAAUAUGUACCUUAGCUUGCUCAGGAACAGGGUGGUAUGUAUUUAAUUUUAUUUGAUGAAAGAAAUAUUAUUGAUAAGCAUUUUUGGUUGCUCUUACAGUGGUUAUGUGAAUUUUCAUGGACUGCACUUUUGUCUGGGUACUCUCAGAAUGGGAAUUCUCAAGAAGCCGUUAAUGCGUAUCUUGAGGGCGUGCACUAGAUGUAUGAAUUUAGGAAAGCAAAUACAAGGGUGCAUUCAGAUUAUAUAUACAGAGUGCCUUGGUUGAUUUUAAUGCUAAUUGCGGAGAAAUGGAAAAUGUUUUUUUGUUUUUGAGUCGAUGGCAGAGAGGGAUUUGGUUUCUUGGAAUGUCAUGAUUUCUGGAUAUGCUUUUCGAGGUUAUAACAUUGAUGUAUUUUUGCAGUUUCGUUGGAUAUUCAGACAAGGUAUACAGCCCGAUUGCUUCACAUUGGGAAGUGUUCUCAAAGCAUAGGUAAGAGGUGGCAAGUGUGGUAAACUAGCUAGAAUCAGUAUAAUACAUGGAUGUAUCAUUCGACUUGGUUAUGGGUAAUGCCAAAGCUGAUUGCAAUCAGUGCAUUAUCCCAGUCACUUCCACUGAGAUAUUGCUUUCUCUUUAGAAUUCUUUAGUUCCCACGUUGGUAAAAUUUUCAACUUUUACUAGUCCUUUCUUUUUUGUGAAAGUGCACUGCAUCGCUUACCUCUGGUGUCACCAUGUAAUACUAUAUUCGGCAGCUAAGUUGAGCAGUCAUCUUUAUUUUUUUCUACCUUAGAAAGAAUAAGAAGAUUGCGUGCUCUUACUCUCGCUUCUAAUCUUUGAGGAUUUUACAUGACAGACCUGUGAUAUGUGUUCCAAUUGCUAAAUAUGUACUUUCACUUCCUCAGGAACAGGGUGGUAUGUAUUUAAUUUUAUUUGAUGCAACAAAUAUUAAUGAUAGGCAUUUUUGGUUGCUUUUACAGUUAACUUUAUAUGACAAUAGUUUUUGGCAUGCAUGAACUUAUACAUAAUUGGGAAUUUCAUGUUAACAUGUAACAAUUCAUUCACUAAGGCUUUUCAAGACUAUGUUUUGCAUUAUAAUAAAUAUCACGCGGUACUUGAAGAAUAUAGUGAUGCAAAUUGAAUCACCGGAUCGAAUAAAGUAAAGUCCACGAGUGGAUAUGUUUGAUUUUUCCUCCUUACCUCUCUUUCUUUUCAACACAAGUUUCGUUGGAACAGGCUGGAUCAUAUCACAUCCACAUUGGAGUUAAGUCCAGGCUAAACGACAGAUAAAAGUUUUACAAGUAAAACACAGUUUUACCAACAAUGUGAAAUGAAAGGAGAAAGUUCAUUUUUUUUUUUUUGGUAACAGCUGUGAAUAUUACCAUUACUCAAAAAAAUUCUCUGAUUUUGUACAAAUUAAAGAGCACCUGUAAGUUAUCAGGCCUCAGGACAUGCUACCAAAGAAAAAACAAAACAAAUCCUACAGGCAAGGUAAACUCAAACUUAAUACUAGAAGAACUAUUAGAAAUUAAACACUAUCCACAACCCAACUUGAGCAAUACAUCUUUUACUUUCUCAACUUUUUUAUUUGCUUGCCGUACUCCCAACCUAUCCCUCACCUCCUCCUGAAUUUGUGUGAUCGUGAAUUGUGUGUUUACAUGUAUCUGUCGAAAUAUCCUUCAGUUCCUUGUUUUCAAUAUGUGGUAUAUCAUGGGCCCCCAAACAGCCACCAUUAUUUCCUUCUUCAAUUUUCUCCAUUUUCUCUAUCCCCACCAUAUUAGACUAUUAGGUACAUCCCUAUUGACCAUAGGCACACCCCUCCAUUGUGACAACCCAUCUCGAACCUCGGUAACCCAAGCACAUUCAGAAAACAAAUGUUGUGGGGUUUCUAACACACCUGAGUUACAUAGACACAAUUCUCCUCUUCUACGGGCAUUUUCAAUCUUAGCAUCCUAGCCUUGGUUAGUAACCUGUUUUGGUUUGCCAACCAAAUAAUGAAUCUGUGCUUUGGUUGUAUAAACCUUGUCCAUACAAAAUUAGCUACUCUCAACCUAUUCUGCAUCCCUAACAUUUCAUUGUAGCUCUUUGUUACCGAGUAAAUCCCAUUCUUUGUCAGCUUCGUAUCCUGAUACCAUCCAGCCAUAUCCUUUUUUAGAGCCAUUAGCUUCCUCCAAUACCAACUACAAUCACCUAGAGGAUUGUGAUCUCAUACAUUCAUAUGUUGUUUUAUAUAGACCCCGUGUACCCAUCUAACCCAUAAAACAUCUUGUUUCUCUAAUACUUGCCACAACAAUUUACCCAUUGAUACUUCAUUCCACUUCCUACACCCUUUUACAUUAAGGCCACCAAAUUUCUUGGGUAUACAAACCUUGUCCCAUGCUACUAAUGGUGUUUUCCUGCAAUCUUCUGAACUUCCCCACACAAACUCUUUACAUUUGUUGUCGACGGCCUUUAACACACUUUGUGGAAGAAUAAAGACAGCUCCCCAAAAAUUGUAGAUGGAGAAUAAGACUACAUUAACUAUUUGUAGUCUACCUGCAUAGGAUAGUUUCCUAGCAUAAGCAUUAUUGAUUCUGUUAGUGAUCUUCUCAAGAAGCUGGUGACAUUCCAUUUUUCUCCAUUUCUUGGAUGUUAAUGGCAAGCCAAGAUAUCUUAUUGGUAACUGGCCUAUAGAAAAUCCUGUCAGAGAUAAAAUUUAUGUAUGGACCUCUUCUGUUAUUCCAACCAAGAAUAUGUUUGUCUUCUCCACAUUAGCCAUUAGCCCUGUAGUUUGACUAAAGUGAUCUAAAGCCUUCAAUACCCUUUGAAUAGACUUUACCUCUCCUUUAUAGAAUAUCAUGAGAUCAUCCGCAAAAAUUAGGUGUGUCAACCUGAGUUCCUAGAACAUGGGGUGAAAUUUAAAAUCUGAAAGUUCGCUCAUUUUCCUGAGUGUUCUGGUUAGGUACUCCAUCACCAAUACAAAGAGCAAAGGAGAUAUUGGAUCUCCUUGCCUAAGACCCUUCUUCCCUUCAAAGUAUCCAUGCCCCUCUCCGUUAGCCUUGCUGAGAAUCUUGUUGAAGAUAUACACAUCAUAACCAUUUGAACAAAAGAUUGAGGAAACCCAUAUCCCUUCAAGACCUCUUCUAUAAAUUUCCAACUUAUCAUGUCAUAGGCUUUCCUCAAGUCGAUCUUCAUCAUGCAUCUAGGGGUUGUUUUUCUCUUGUAAUGCCUCAACAAAUCAUGUCAUAUUAGAACAUUAUGUACUAAGGGACCUCCCCUUUACAAAAGCAGCUUGUUGGUCUGAGACUAUACUUGGCAAAACUACCUUAAGCCUUUCACACAACACCUUUGAGACACACUUAUAUAAUACAUUGCAACAUGAUAUUGGCCUAAAUUGACCUGCUAUUUGUGGUACAUUCACUUUAGGUAUAAGUGCAAUCAUAGUAGCAUUCAUCUGCUUUAAUAUUUUGCCAUUCCUCAAGGACUGUAGCACCGCAUCAGUCACAUCUUUACCUACAAUACUCCAUGCUGCCUUGUAGAACCCACUACCAAAGCCAUCUGGUCCCGGACUCUUAUUGCUAUCAAUGCUAAACAUGACUUUUUUAACCUCUUUCUUUGUGUACCCCUUUACCAGAUCCAACUGCUGCUCUAAAAUUACAACAGGUUCUAAUUUGCACCUCAAAUGACCCCUAAGUGUCUAGUUGACAAAGACAUGGUUACAGGGGUUCAAAUUACAGCUUGAGUCAAGUACAAGGUCUUCGAGGUCAUUUAAUUAUUUUUACUUUUCAUGUAUUUUGUUUCUUUUAAAAAACAGGCAAAUGAUUGAGGUUUCAAUUACUUCAAAUAGAAAGGAGAUGUGCAACUUUUCAACGAAUAAAUAAAGAAUUUAACAGUAAAACAAUUAAGGAUAAAUGUGAUAUUGUAACACCGUAUUCAUUUGAACUUAGUUAUUUUAACUAAUAAUAUAAAGGACAUUUAUCAAUAGACUUUUAUUACUAAAAGAAAAAUUAUUUUAAAUAUUUAUUAUAAUAAUUUUUAAUUAAUUUUUUAUUUAUUUAAUUAAAGGGAUUUUAGUGUCAGCCAUACAAAGGAAAAAGCUUUUAAACUGACGAAUCACUUUUCUUUUUCUACUAAAAGGCACAGGGAAUCACCUUUGGAAUCAAUGUUGCACCAGACACUUCUAAUGCCCCUAUGUACAAUGGAUCACUAGAGUCUAGGUGCCAUCUAAUUCUUCAAAAAACAACUGAAUCUACACUGAUCUAGACAGUUCAUCUUCUUUUGUCUCUGGGAAAUGAUAAGUGUAUUAUAAAACGAUACCAAAAUCUCCACUCUCUUGUAUUCCAUAUAUUAACCAUAUUCAGUAUUUUUUUUUUCUGUAGUAAGUGGAUGAUCUUAAGUCCAUGACACUUGAAUCUGUACUUCUGCUGCAACACAGAAGUCCUUCCUGAUCAGCUGGCACUGCUAAGGCAAAAGCCAAAAGGAAAAAGACAUUCACCAAGAUGUCAUCAGAUACGGUUAUCACUCUGAUUUGCUCCUUCGAAAUGCACUAACUGACAUGUACGGCAAGUGUAAGUACGCGCAAGGUGCAAGAGAAGUUUUUGAUAAUUUAAGUGCUAAAGAUGUAAUCUCUUGCACGUAUGUUAACUGUAAACUUCCAAGAGAAGCGCUAACAACUUUCCAUGAAAUGGGAUAGUUUUCUUGUUUUUCGUCAUCUUGAUUAGGUUAUGGAAGAAAGAUUCAAUCUUUAUUGAUUUUGCUUGUGUGAAAGUAACCUUUCGUGGAAGAAAGAUCCAAUCUUUAUCGAUUUUAUCAGAUGAAGCUGGAAAUGACCAGUUGAUGUUGAUCAACACUGAGAUCACAAAGAUGUGCUGCUCUAUUGAUAUGCAAUUUGAGAAUGAUCCAAGUUUAUCUGUUGUAAUGGGGGAUUUUCCUUUUCUGAAUUUUUCUCUCAAGACUGCUGGGGUUGAUUUUCAUCCGAAGACAAAUCUUUUAGCAUCUGAGCCUGUAAAAAGCAAGAAGCACAAAUACCCAGUUUGCUUCAAAGUUUUCCCAUUAGGCCAAUCUUUGGGAGGCCACAAGAGGGCUCAUUACACUGGAUUCACUGAGAGCAAAACUAAAGAGCCUAUGGUGAAAAAAUUGGAUGACCUUGCUGAUAAUCAUAAGGCUUUUGAUCUGAAUACUCCUGUAAAUGCUGUGGAUGAAGGGGAAUGAUGUUGAGCUCAAGCUUUGGUGGGUUAGAAGUAGCGACGCUGUUGAUGUCAAAUUGAGAGAGUACUUCAUUCUCAGUUUCUGCUCUAGAGGUUGAAGAACUAGACGAUUCAUGAUUCAUUUUCAUUCUUGAAUUUCAUAAUUGUAAAGAUAAUUUUGAGUCCUGGAAUAGUUAAACAGUUGAAUAAUGACACAGGAAAGAUUAGAGUUCCCAGUUACUGACUGAACCAUAAUAGGAAUAAGGCAUACAAAUUACUACAACAUUACUGUUUACUUUCUGUUCAUUGCAUUCUUGCAUUGUAGUACAUAUUUUCCCAGGCCA